rnacentral:misc_RNA from 1 species
GAUGAAGAACGUAGCGAAAUGCGAUACGUAAUGUGAAUUGCAAAUUCAGUGAAUCAUCGAGUCUUUGAACGCACAUUGCGCCCCCUGGUAUUCCGGGGGGCAUGACUGUCCGAGCGUCAUUGCUGCCCUCAAGCACGGCUUGUGUGUUGGGCCCCGUCCUCCGAUCCCGGGGGACGGGCCCGAAAGGCAGCGGCGGCACCGCGUCCGGUCCUCGAGCGUAUGGGGCUUUGUCACCCGCUCUGUAGGCCCGGCCGGCGCUUGCCGAUCAACCCAAAUUUUUAUCCAGGUUGACCUCGGAUCAGGUAGGGAUACCCGCUGAACUUAAGCAUAUCAAUAAGCGGAGGA